rnacentral:rRNA from 1 species
GAUGAACGCUGGCGGCGUGCUUAACACAUGCAAGUCGAACGAUGAAGCCCAGCUUGCUGGGUGGCUUAUUGGCGAACGGGUGAGUAACACGUUAGUAACCUGCCCUUAACUCUGGGAUAAGUCCUGGUAACGGGGUCUAAUACCGGAUAGGAGCGUCCACCGCAUGGUGUGUGUUGGCGAUAUUUAUCGGUUUUGGUUGGACUCGCGGCCUAUCAGCUUGUUGGUGAGGUAAUGGCUCACCAAGUCGAGGCCAGGUAGCCGGCCUGAGAGGGUCAGCGGCCACGCUGCGACUGGGAUACGGCCCAGACUCCAACGGGAGGCAGCGGAGGAGAGUGUUGUACUGUGCGAGCGAGGCUAGUGCGAUGAAGCAGCGUGGGGUAUGACGUCAAGCGGGUUGUGAUCCAAUGUCAGUAUGGAAGAAGCGAUAAUGACGGUACCGGCAGAAGAAGCACCGGCUAACUACGUG